rnacentral:rRNA from 1 species
UACGGAAGGCAGCAGUGGGGAAUAUUGCACAAUGGGCGAAAGCCUGAUGCAGCUAUGCCGCGUGUAUGAAGAAGGCCUUAGGGUUGUAAAGUACUUUCAUCGGGGAGGAAAAACAAAACUAAUAAUUUUAUUUCUUGACGUUACCCGAAAAAGAGGCACCGGCUAACUCCGUGCCAGCAGCCGCGGUAAUACGGAGGGUGCUAGCGUUAAUCAGAAUUACUGGGCGUAAAGAGCACGUAGGUGGUUUUUUUAAAGUCAGAUGUGAAAUCCCUGGGCUUAACCUAGGAACUGCAUUUUGAAAACUGAAAUACUAGAGUAUCGUAGAGGGAGGUAGAAUUCUAGGUGUAGCGGUGAAAUGCGUAGAUAUCUGGAGGAAUACCUGUGGCGAAAGCGGCCUCCUAAACGAAUACUGACACUGAGGUGCGAAAGC